AUUGAACGCUGGCGGCAGGCCUAACACAUGCAAGUCGAGCGGAUGAGGGGAGCUUGCUUCCUGAUUCAGCGGCGGACGGGUGAGUAAUGCCUAGGAAUCUGCCUGGUAGUGGGGGACAACGUUUCGAAAGGAACGCUAAUACCGCAUACGUCCUACGGGAGAAAGUGGGGGAUCUUCGGACCUCACGCUAUCAGAUGAGCCUAGGUCGGAUUAGCUAGUUGGUGAGGUAAAGGCUCACCAAGGCGACGAUCCGUAACUGGUCUGAGAGGAUGAUCAGUCACACUGGAACUGAGACACGGUCCAGACUCCUACGGGAGGCAGCAGUGGGGAAUAUUGGACAAUGGGCGAAAGCCUGAUCCAGCCAUGCCGCGUGUGUGAAGAAGGUCUUCGGAUUGUAAAGCACUUUAAGUUGGGAGGAAGGGCUGUAGGCUAAUAUCCUGCAGUUUUGACGUUACCGACAGAAUAAGCACCGGCUAACUUCGUGCCAGCAGCCGCAGUAA
rnacentral:rRNA from 1 species